rnacentral:rRNA from 1 species
GGAGUUAUCAGAAGUGAGAAUGCUGACAUGAGUAACGAUAAAGGGGGUGAAAAACCCCCUCGCCGGAAGACCAAGGUUUCCUGUCCCAUGCUAAUCAGGGCAGGGUUAGUCGGCCCCUAAGGCGAGGCCGAAAGGCGUAGUCGAUGGGAACCACGUUAAUAAUCGUGGGCCUGGUGGUAGUGACGGAUCUCGUGUGUUGUAUCUCCUUAUUGGAUUGGAGGUGCAGCGAAGAGGUUCCAGGAAAUAGCUCCACCGUAUAAACCGUACCCGAAACCGACACAGGUGGUCAGGUAGAGAAUACCAAGGCGCUUGAGAGAACUCUGUUGAAGGAACUCGGCAAAUUACUCCCGUAAGUUCGCGAGAAGGGAGCCUGGCAUCAGGCAACUGGUGUCCAGGGGCACAGACCAGGGGGUGGCGACUGUUUAUUAAAAACACAGGGCUCUGCGAAGUCGUAAGACGACGUAUAGGGUCUGACGCCUGCCCGGUGCCGGAAGGUUAAGAGGAGAGGUGCAAGCUUUGAAUCGAAGCCCCGGUAAACGGCGGCCGUAACGAUAACGGUCCUAAGGUAGCGAAAUUCCUUGUCGGGUA